rnacentral:ncRNA from 1 species
GUUCAAACGAGGAAGGGCUUACGGUGGAUACCUAGGCACCUAGAGACGAGGAAGGGUGUGGUAAGUGACGAAAUGCUUUGGGGAGUUGAAAAUGAGCAUAGAUCCGGAGAUUCCCAAAUAGGUUAACCUUUUUAACUGCUGCUGAAUCCAUGGGUAGGCAAGAGACAACCUGGCGAACUGAAACAUCUUAGUAGCCAUAGGAAUAGAAAGAAAAAUCGAUUCCCAUAGUAGCGGCGAGCGAAAUGGGAGCAGCCUAAACCAUGAAAAUGGGGUUGUGGGAGAGCACAAUAUAAGCUCUGUGCUGAUAGGCAAAGCGGUUGAGUCCUGCACCCUAGAUGGUGAGAGUCCAGUAGCCAAAAGAAUCAUUGGGUUACGCUCUAACCCAAGUAGCACGGGGCAUGUGGAAUC